rnacentral:snoRNA from 1 species
AUAUAUGAUGAACACAAUUAACACAGACCUGUACUGAUUCUUUGAAUAUGCAGAGAAACUAAUUGUUGCCUUCCUUCUGAUU